rnacentral:lncRNA from 1 species
AUGCUGCACCAAAAGUUAAGAGUUCUUGAAAAAACAAAGAUGUCGGGUUGUUUCCAGUCAUCUGAAGCCUUGACUAGUGGGGAGAUCCACCUCUGGGACAGGGAAUGGCCACCACAACCAGUAAAACCCAGUAACAGUGAAGGAAGAGUAUGGCAGUGGGUUCUUUCCCGAAGCCUCCGCAGGGGAACCCAGCCCAGCCCCACCUUGACUUCAGCCUCGUGAGACCCGGUGGAGGCUGCCUGGACUUCUGACCUAUACAACAACGGUCAGGUGAUCUGUGGGCAUCGUUUCCAGACUCCAAGUUUGUAGUGAUUUGUUCCAGAGCGAUGAACACUAACAGUUAUUGUCAGAAUGGACCGUGGAAUUUAAAUUAGAUCAGGAGGAGCUGUGGUCAGGUGCUGUGAACUGAAUGUGCCAAUAAGUCACAGAAUUGUAUGGGGGGCGGGGGGGGCGGGAAGACCUAAGGAGACCAGGGCCAGCGUUGAGAGCAACAGCGAUCUGAUAUGUGAUUUCAGGCACGGUGUGGUUUCUGAUGACAAAGCCAGAGUAGGUAGGUAGACAGACAGACAGAUAAGCAUGCAUAGGAGACAAUAAUGGCAUAAAUGUCCCCAAACCUUAAGAGUCAGUAUCUCUGUGUUGCCUGAUGAUGGAUACUUUUUAAAAUUAACCACAUUCGAUCUUUUUAUUUUCAUUUUUAAAAUUUUGUCUAAACUUUUAAUUUUUUAUUUUGUAUUGGGCUAUAGCUGAUUAACAGAGUUUGAUAGUUUCAGGUGAACAGCAUAGGGACUCAGCCGUACAUAUACAUGGAUCCAUUCUCUCCCACGCCACCCACCACCUGUUCAUUUUGUUUAUUUUUGGCUGCACUGGGUCUUCCUUGCUGCGCACGGGCUUUCUCUAGUUGUGGUGCUGGGGGCUGCUCCCUGGUUGCAGUGCCAGGGCCUCUUAUUGCAGCGGCUUCUGUUGUUGCAGAGCACAGGCUCUAGGCUCAUGGGCUUCGGGAGUGGUGGCCUCCCGACGUAGUUGCUGUGCCACUAAGGGCCUUCCUGGACCAGAGAUCAAACUCGUGUCCUCUGCAUUGGAAGGCAAGUUCUUAACCAGGGAAGCCGUACAGAAGUUUUUUAAGUUAAUUUUUAUGGGAGUGUAGUUGUU